rnacentral:lncRNA from 1 species
UUGGAAUUUGCAUUUCUCACAAAGUUGCCGAUGCAUUGUCAUUCAUCACGUUCCUCAACAGUUGGGCGUCGAUAUCUCGUGGAGAUUGCAACAUUACAAAUAGUACAGUCAGUCCUCCAAUUUUUGAUUUGGCCACGCUCUUUCCGCCUAGAAGCAUAUCAGGAUUCAAACCAAGCACUGGGAUCGCUAGAGAAAAAAUCGUCACAAAAAGGUUUGUUUUCAGUGCUUCCACGAUUGCUUCUCUUAGGUCAAAAUAUACAGAUAAUAAAGCCAAUGAGAUAAAGCCAAGUCGGAUUGAGGCCUUGUCAGCAUUUAUAUGGGCCCGGUUUAUAGCCUCCACUCAAGGAAGCCGAACCCCAACACUCUUUACAGAGUGCUUCACACCGUUAACUUGCGGACGAGGAUGGACCCACCACUGCCUGAAUACCAUUUCGGGAACGUGAGCCGGUUUGUCAUGUCCUCGCCGUCGUUUGACGAGGGAGAGGAC